rnacentral:rRNA from 1 species
UAGGGAAUCUUCCACAAUGGGCGAAAGCCUGAUGGAGCAACGCCGCGUGUGUGAUGAAGGGUUUCGGCUCGUAAAACACUGUUGUAAGAGAAGAAUGACAUUGAGAGUAACUGUUCAGGUAUUGACGGUAUUUAACCAGAAAGCCACGGCUAACUACGUGACAG